CCGGUGCCGCCGCGCGUCCCGGGCGCGUCCGCCGCGCGCUCUCCCUGGGGAGAAAGAGAAACCGUGUAGACGGCCGGCGCGCGCUCACUCGCCGCCUCCUCUGCGGAGAGCGGCGAGGCCGGCCCGAGGCGGGCGCCGAGCGCGGAGCGGAGGGGGGCCCGAGGGAGGCGGGGGUGGAAUCAGCCCAAUUCCCGAGGCUGGCUCCGAGGGGGACCCGGAAUACAGGCUGGCGGGGGGCCGGCGGGGGCCGAGCUCCCGGAGGAGGGGAAGGCGGAGGUGGCCCCGUCCUUGGGCAUCAACUAUUGUCUAGGCGCCCGGGCCCCCGCUCGCGCCGUCCCCGAGGCUCAGCGCCCCCAUCCCGCCCGCCAGCAGAAAGAACUGAGGGGGCGGCCAGUACGGGAAGCAAGUGCGGGGGUCCGGGCUCCGAAGGUCCAAGGUGGGCGCGAGGUUGCCGGGGGGGGGAUGAGGAGGUGCGUACCGCAUGGGGGAGGGGACAGGUAAGUGCGGACGGGGGCGGGAAGGCCCCAACGACCGGUGGGGGAGGAAAUGGGGAGGGAGCCACAGAGGCGGGAGGGAAUGGAGUGGCUGCGGGGGCGGCCUCUGGGGCCCAGACCUGGCCCUCCCCGGGGACCCUCCAGCCGGGGACUCGGCGCUGCACUGACUUUUCGCUCACUCGCUCACGCACGCACUGAACUCGCUCACAAAGUUGCCGGCAGUGGCGGCGCCUCACUCGCCCUUCCCCUCCCCGCCCCGCCUCCCGCCCCAUUCCUUCCCCUCCUUCACUCCUCCCUCUCCCCCAAGUCUCGGGUGAGAUCACCACGGAGCGGCUUAGCGCGGCGCACAAGUCUCGCGAGAGAAGCGGCGGCUGGGCCCUGCAGGCGGAGGAAGUGGAAAAAGUCGCGGGAGGGUAGGGGACCGCGGAACUUCUGGUUGCUAUGACGACGGCAAAGCCCUGGAUUCCUGUCUCCUGCGGAGAGCAGAGGCUGCAAACGCAUCCGCAGACGCCUUUAUACGUACUCCAAAAUGCUAGUAAGGAUGAAGAUGAACUCUCCUCAGCCCGUGUCUUUUAACUGUAGAAACUUUUCUGAGAAAUGAAAAGAGGCUUGCUCAUGACUUGGAAGCGGUGGGCUGAGGCCUCCCAAGACCAUCUGGCUUGUUCCAUUGCCAGCCAGAGUGGAGGCGACAUUCACACGAACCCAGGAGCUGCAGGGGCGCGUGAGCUACAGCUGCCUUGUGGCAUCCAAGGAGUGCGCAGUGAGAUUCCGCAGGAGAAAUCACGCUUUGCAUGUUCUUGAGUACAAGAAACAUGUGUAAUGAGGGUUUUUGUUUGCGGGCAUGCCAAGGAGAACGACUGGAAUAUUAAAGUCAUCACAGCCUUUAUUUAAGGGAGAAGAGGACAAGCAUGAAUAUGCUGAUAGUUCAGAGAUAUUUAGGACCUUCAGCAGCUCAGCACUCAUCCUAGAUUUAUACAAAUACCUUUCCAGAGAUGAAGUUUUUAAAAGCCUUUUAAAGGAAUUUUAUUUGUUCUUUUCACGUGGGGAAAAGUGAUGAGUAUAUCUAUGCAAGUAUGAGAAAUGGCCAAGGCCACUCCAUGUAAUUUUUUACUUAUCCUAUAGCUACACAAAGAAAAUAGCACCAAGUGUUGUAGAGGAAAAUCUACUAGACUUCAAGCCCGGCUUGAAUUCAAUUCUGUGCUCUAAUUCAGACUCUAUCUUUACUUAGCUGAGUCAUAUAAAUUAUUUAAUUUUCUAGACUUCUCACUUCUCUUUCUUUCUUUUUUUUUUAGACUAGUCUCACUCUGUUGCCCAGGCUGGAGUGCAGUGGCGCGAUCUCAGCUUACUUCAGCCUCCGCCUCCCGGUUUCAAGUGAAUUCUCCAGCCUCAACUUCACAAGUAGCUGGGAUUACAGCCACUUUUUAUCUUCUCUCCUGCAAUCCAACCCACAUAAUUUCCAUGAAGAAAGCGGAGUGGUGUCAUUUUACAACAAGAAAACUGAGUUAAGAAUAAGUCCAAUCAAUUGCUAGGUGUUGAGACUGAAAUGGAAGUCUCUUAGUACUCCACCCAAGGAUUUUCAUAUUAAAC
rnacentral:lncRNA from 1 species